CCGUUUUGGUUUGAAGUAAUUCUCCAACGCGUCCAAUAUUUCUUUCACGUCCUCCUGUUGUGCCGCAGACAGGUUCAGGUUGUGUUUGUACACGUGGCGGCAAUCGCCUCCCAUAAGUCUUCUCAGAGCAGCAGCCUGCACUCUUUUGUCUUUAUCUUCCAACCCGGAUGCCAAAGAAUAGUCUUCAAAUUCAGCACGAAAGUUAUCCCAGUUGUUAGCAACAUCUCCAGUCAGCUUCAUCUCCUCCGGGGCUGGGAUGCUAACGUUAGCCGCCAUGUCGUCAGCCUCGUUGCUAUCACGGUCGCGAUAAUGGACUCCCAACUGCGUGUUCCGCACACAAUAAACUCACAGCUGCGACGGCACUAAUCGAAAACAGCAGUGGGUAGGAUCACUUCUGACACCAUGUUUGGUUUAUUAAUGACACAAGUCAUGAUGGCGUUUGACUGAUGCUUUAGUAGCAUGAACGGCAACUGACAGCAUAACGGUGGCAAGCCACACCUUGCCUCUUGGGCUAUACCAUUUUAACUAGACCGGGGGGGGGAUAAUCCCCAAACAGAA